CUACGGGUUGCUGCAGUGGGGAAUAUUGGACAAUGGGGGAAACCCUGAUCCAGCAAUGCCGCGUGUGUGAAGAAGGCCUGCGGGUUGUAAAGCACUUUCGGUUGGGAGGACUGCUUCUAGCACUAAUAUUGUUGGAAGUUGACGUUAUCUUCAGAAGAAGCACCGGCUAGCUCCGUGCCAGCAGCCGCGGUAAUACGGAGGGUGCAAGCGUUAAUCGGAAUUACUGGGCGUAAAGCGCGCGUAGGCGGCUAGAUCAGUCGGGUGUGAAAGCCCCGGGCUUAACCUGGGAACUGCAUCCGAUACUGUCUAGCUUGAGUACAGGAGAAGAGAGUGGAAUUCCACAUGUAGCGGUGAAAUGCGUAGAUAUGUGGAGGAACACCAAUGGCGAAGGCAGCUCUCUGGCCUGAUACUGACGCCGAGGUGCGAAAGCGUGGGGAGCAAACAGGAUUAGAUACCCCAGUAGUC
rnacentral:rRNA from 1 species